GGCCUCCCCACCCAUGUGGAACUGUGAGUCAAUUAAACCUCUUUCUUUAUAAAUUAUUCAGCCUCGGGUUUGUCUUUAUUAGCUGGAGUGCGAACAGACUAGUACA